rnacentral:tRNA from 1 species
CGGAGCGUGGCGUAGCCCGGUAGCGCACUUGACUGGGGGUCAAGGGGUCGCGAGUUCAAAUCUCGCCGCUCCGACUA